CUAANGGCGAAGCCUGAUGGAGCACGCCGCGUGCAGGAUGAAGGCCUUCGGGUUGUAAACUGCUUUUAUAAGUGAGGAAUAUGACGGUAACUUAUGAAUAAGGAUCGGCUAACUACGUGCCAGCAGCCGCGGUCAUACGUAGGAUCCGAGCGUUAUCCGGAGUGACUGGGCGUAAAGAGUUGCGUAGGUGGUUUGUAAAGCGAAUAGUGAAAUCUGGCGGCUCAACCGUACAGGCUAUUAUUCGAACUCACAAACUCGAGAAUGGUAGAGGUUACUGGAAUUUCUAGUGUAGGAGUGAAAUCCGUAGAUAUUAGAAGGAACACCAAUGGCGUAGGCAGGUAACUGGACCAUUUCUGACACUAAGGCACGAAAGCGUGGGGAGCGAACCGGAUUAGAUACCCGGGUAGUCCACGCCGUAAACGAUGGAUACUAGCUGUUGGAGGUAUCGACCCCUUCAGUAGCGAAGCUAACGCGUUAAGUAUCCCGCCUGUGGAGUACGGUCGCAAGACUAAAACAUAAAGGAAUUGACGGGGACCCGCACAAGCGGUGGAUCGUGUUCUUUAAUUCGAUGCUAAACGAAGAACCUUACCAGGGCUUGACAUCCAGGGAAUUUUUGGGAAACCAAUUAGUGCCUUUUGGAACCCUGUGACAGGUGAUGCAUGGCCGUCGUCAGCUCGUGUCGUGAGAUGUUUGGUUAAGUCCAUCAACGAGCGCAACCCUUGUGAAUAGUUGGAUUUUUCUAUUCAGACUGCCCCGGUAACGGGGAGGAAGGAGGGGAUGAUGUCAGGUCAGUAUUUCCCUUACGUCCUGGGCUAGAAACACGAUACAAUGGCAAGUACAAUGCGCAGCGAAGCCGCGAGGUGGAGCAAAUCGCAUCAAAGCUUG
rnacentral:rRNA from 1 species